GAACCUCAAACUUUUUUGAUCUAGAUCUUGCAAUUCAAUGUGAUUUUCUUUGGUUUGUGUGGUUUUCUGAAGUCCUCUCACUUGAGGCAAGCCAGUGGUGGUCUUAAUUGUUCAAAUCGUGCCAUUCCAGUUGACAUACCAUGAUCUUCCAUUUUACAUUUCUCUCUAAAUAUGAAGAGUGGGGAUGAUCCAUGGUUACAGUGGUGAUGUACAUCACCUGAGCUUCAUUUUGAUGUCCUUACAUUUCAUUUUCAUUACAAACUUUUUCCCUAU
rnacentral:lncRNA from 1 species